rnacentral:rRNA from 1 species
UGGGGAAUAUUGCACAAUGGAGGGAACUCUGAUGCAGCGACGCCGCGUGAGUGAAGAAGUAUUUCGGUAUGUAAAGCUCUAUCAGUAGGGAAGAUAAUGACGGUACCUACAUAAGAAGCCCCGGCUAAAUACGUGCCAGCAGCCGCGGUAAUACGUAUGGGGCAAGCGUUAUCCGGAUUUAUUGGGCGUAAAGCGAGCGCAGGCGGUCAAUUAAGUCUGAUGUGAAAGCCCCCGGCUCAACCGGGGAGGGUCAUUGGAAACUGGUUGACUUGGGUGCAGAAGAGGAGAGUGGAAUUCCAUGUGUAGCGGUGAAAUGCGUAGAUAUAUGGAGGAACACCAGUGGAGAAGGCGACUCUCUGGUCUGUAACUGACGCUGAGGCUCGAAAGCGUGGGUAGCAAACAGG